rnacentral:rRNA from 1 species
GACGAACGCUGGCGGCGUGCUUAACACAUGCAAGUCGAACGAAGAGCGAUGGAAGCUUGCUUCUAUCACUCUUAGUGGCGAACGGGUGAGUAACGCGUAAUCAACCUGCCCUUCAGAGGGGGACAACAGUUGGAAACGACUGCUAAUACCGCAUACGAUCUAAUCUCGGCAUCGAGGAUAGAUGAAAGGUGGCCUCUACAUGUAAGCUAUCACUGAAGGAGGGGAUUGCGUCUGAUUAGCUGGUUGGAGGGGUAACGGCCCACCAAGGCGAUGAUCAGUAGCCGGUCUGAGAGGAUGAACGGCCACAUUGGGACUGAGACACGGCCCAGACUCCUACGGGAGGCAGCAGUGGGGAAUCUUCCGCAAUGGACGAAAGUCUGACGGAGCAACGCCGCGUGAGUGAUGACGGCCUUCGGGUUGUAAAGCUCUGUUAAUCGGGACGAAAGGCCUUCUUGCGAAUAGUGGGAAGGAUUGACGGUACCGGAAUAGAAAGCCACGGCUAACUACGUG